GAAGCACAGACACCCUGAGAGCAGGAGGAGAGUGAUGGACAGGAUCCUCUUGGACAUUUUGACCAAUGGGCUGGCUGGUGGACAGGUUGACUGAUCAGGCUGCAACUGCACAAGCUGAUGGACGUUCGGAUAUUUAUUGAGUGCUCGGUGAACUGACAGCCGUCUGGAGACUUCAGAUACUUAAGGCCUGAAAAAGCAGAAGUGAUCCCUCCGAGUGCUCGGUGAACUGACAGCCGUCUGGAGACUUCAGAUACUUAAGGCCUGAAAAAGCAGAAGUGAUCCCUCCGAGUGCUCGGUGAACUGACAGCCGUCUGGAGACUUCAGACACUUAAGGCCUGAAAAAGCAGAAGUGAUCCCUCCGCUUCUUCUAGGACCUGACCAACCGGUGGGAGCCGCUAUGAUGCGAGUCUCCACCAGCUUCACUCCUGCAAACAUGAAGGGAAGAACAUCGCGACAGUCAGAGUGAGCAGACAAAUCCAGCGGCUGGCAGAGAGAGUCGUCCACAUCUUCAAACGCUGCACGGCACCAGCAAUGACUGUGGAUCUCGGCUGUAAACAGAACAUCAUACACAGUGGGAGCUUCCCAGUUCAACCUGUUGGCUGCUGCUGCUGGCAACUGAGAUAACUAAAAUGGCCGGAGGUUAAUUUCCUCUAUUAAAUCCUCGAAAGUGGUUAUCGAUAUGUAAGUCUUUUAGGAGAGGUAUAUACAG